rnacentral:misc_RNA from 1 species
GAACGCACAUUGCACCUCUUGGUAUUCCGAGGGGUAUGUCUGUUUGAGCGUCAGUACCCACUCCAACGUUGGUUUUUGCCGAUGGCUGGGUCUUGAGGGGAUCACGCCCCUCUAACGUGGCACGCUUGCGAACCUAAACCGAAUCACAACGUAGUAAAUUUUCUCUCGUUGAAGUGAAGGUGAGGGCCGCCUGAAAAUCAAACUCUGUAGUUUGACCUCAGAUCAGACAAGGAUACCCGCUGAACUUAA